GAUGAACGCUGACAGAAUGCUUAACACAUGCAAGUCAACUUGAAUUUGGGUUUUUAACUUAGGUUUGGGUGGCGGACGGGUGAGUAACGCGUAAAGAACUUGCCUCACAGCUAGGGACAACAUUUAGAAAUGAAUGCUAAUACCUAAUAUUAUGAUAAUAGGGCAUCCUAUAAUUAUGAAAGCUAUAUGCGCUGUGAGAGAGCUUUGCGUCCCAUUAGCUAGUUGGAGAGGUAACGGCUCACCAAGGCGAUGAUGGGUAGCCGGCCUGAGAGGGUGAUCGGCCACAAGGGGACUGAGACACGGCCCUUACUCCUACGGGAGGCAGCAGUGGGGAAUAUUGGACAAUGGACUGAGAGUCUGAUCCAGCAAUUCUGUGUGCACGAUGAAGUUUUUCGGAAUGUAAAGUGCUUUCAGUUGGGAAGAAAGAAAUGACGGUACCAACAGAAGAAGUGACGGCUAAAUACGUGCCAGCAGCCGCGGUAAUACGUAUGUCACGAGCGUUAUCCGGAUUUAUUGGGCGUAAAGCGCGUCUAGGUGGUUAUAUAAGUCUGAUGUGAAAAUGCAGGGCUCAACUCUGUAUUGCGUUGGAAACUGUAUAACUAGAGUACUGGAGAGGUAAGCGGAACUACAAGUGUAGAGGUGAAAUUCGUAGAUAUUUGUAGGAAUGCCGAUGGGGAAGCCAGCUUACUGGACAGAUACUGACGCUGAAGCGCGAAAGCGUAGGUAGCAAACAGG
rnacentral:rRNA from 1 species